AAUUCUCAAACCAUGACUUUUUGUUGUGGCUUGGAUAGUUGGGUGUUGCCAGCUUGUUUUUUUAUUGCAGGCUCACCUUAAAUACAUAAGUGGUGCAUUUAGAAACUUGUUAGGUGUUGUAAAUUAUCAAUACAUCUAUGUUUCUCUGAAUAUACUGCUUCUAACAACCUCAUUUGAUGA
rnacentral:misc_RNA from 1 species